GAUGAACGCUGGCGGCGUGCCUAAUACAUGCCAGUCGAGCGAACGGACGAGAAGCUUGCUUCUCUGAUGUUAGCGGCGGACGGGUGAGUAACACGUGGAUAACCUACCUAUAAGACUGGGAUAACUUCGGGAAACCGGAGCUAAUACCGGAUAAUAUUUUGAACCGCAUGGUUCAAAAGUGAAAGACGGUCUUGCUGUCACUUAUAGAUGGAUCCGCGCUGCAUUAGCUAGUUGGUAAGGUAACGGCUUACCAAGGCAACGAUGCAUAGCCGACCUGAGAGGGUGAUCGGCCACACUGGAACUGAGACACGGUCCAGACUCCUACGGGAGGCAGCAGUAGGGAAUCUUCCGCAAUGGGCGAAAGCCUGACGGAGCAACGCCGCGUGAGUGAUGAAGGUCUUCGGAUCGUAAAACUCUGUUAUUAGGGAAGAACAAAUGUGUAAGUAACUAUGCACGUCUUGACGGUACCUAAUCAGAAAGCCACGGCUAACUACGUG
rnacentral:rRNA from 1 species